GGCUAUUUUGGCAGAUAAGUGCGUUAGAUUUAGAAUCUGUUAAUGUAAAUUUUUAAUGUUACAAGUAGUA
rnacentral:tRNA from 1 species